rnacentral:misc_RNA from 1 species
AAAUAGUCUUAGCUCUCCUCUUUUAAGAACAAUUGAGAUUUGAGGGAAUGCUUACCUUACCCUCUAUUAAUUCACUCAUGUUUAGAGGGGGCAUAACUCAUUUACCCCUCCUUACCUUUAUUUACCCCUCCUCCACCCUCAUCCAAACCCUGGAGAUUGAGUUUUGCAUGCAAUCUUUGAGUUUCAUUUUAUAAGCUAAAUGAAAAUUUUUGUUCUUUUUAAAGAAAUGCAGAUAACAUCAAAUUUUAUCAUAUGCAAUAUCUUUCUGUAAUUGUUUAUGAUAUGAAGGAUGAUAAGAAAACUUUAUUGUUUUUAGUGCAUAAUAUAUUUGGCACUAUCCAACCAUUAUGGCUACUGGUUUCUGUUAUUGAUGAUGCUUA